GAAUCCCCCACCUCCACUAUGCUCUAUUUUAUGUCUUGAUCUUGAAACAUUAUGUAAUCCAUCAUAUCGUUAGUAUGAAAUACAAAUUUCUGACCAAAAAAAAAAAAAAUCUAAAUUCAAUAUGUCAGCAAAACCUGUACAGUGAACAUUUCUCUUCUUAUUGCAUACAUACAACACGUAUAAGAAGGACAGCACAGUUUAAAGCAGGGGCCUCAGUCAAUACUUUUCUCUACACAUUAAAUUUGGCAAGCAAACUCUCCAUACAGUAACAUUGUACAAAGCGAAAUCCACUAUGAUUAUAAAUCACACAAAUGAAGACCUCCAAUAUGUUCUCCACUCAAACCUCACCCUAAAUGCACAGAAGAACCUGUGGGCUUCAAGCAUUAACAGAUGCAACUCAUGCCAGGGAAGGGCUUCUUGAACUCAACCAAUUCAAAAUACGCACACCGCAUACUACAGCAGAAUCUCAUAUCUUCUCCUUUUCUCCUUCCUGGUGCUUUGCAACACCGAACACUACAAGAGAGCACUAUGACAAUAACACCAACAACCACGAAACAUCCUCUGCUUUCUGAAGUACCAAUUUAGAUGAGGAUUCUCCAUAAAGGAAGCAAUACCUAAUUCCCUCAUAACAUAUAUUUCACAGAAUGCCUGCAAAACCACACACAGACAAACCAAUCUCAAUGUACCAAUAAUUCAAAACAACUAAACCAGAAAAGAAAACAAUGGGAACACCCAAUUUGGCCGCUCACUGUCCAUCUCUUCCAACUCAAAGGAAGCAACUUCAUGCCCCAAACCUAUCACAAAAUAAAUUGGGACCAGCUGACAGAGAAAACCCAAAUUUUCUUCUUGCAUAUAAAAGAGGUCAAGCCACGACAUCCUCAAACCACCCAAUUAACUAAACUGAUAUCGCUGCGCUCAAGGCAAAUGUAAAUCGGGGACACACCAUGCCAAUCACGUCGUGCCGAUGGCAUUUGAAAUAAAUCAACUUCUGGAUCAGAAUAAACACAAACCCACUUGCCCAAAAUCUCCACUUUCACCGCUACGCCAUCCCACUAGAGUGAUUUCAAUCAAAAAACAACCCCCCCUUGACGUAGUAGAGCGGCGUCGUGAGGAAAAAAGGGUCAGUCUCUGAAGCGCCGUUGCUCGACCCAGCACAGCACACAGCUCCCUGAGUCAUCGCUGCCGACGAAGAAGGAGAAGAAGAAGAGAAAAGGGCGUGGCGGAACAACCGGUCCCUCAAUCGGUCGCCGUCCUUGUCGCCAUUGCCGUCACCGUCCCUGCCGCUGUCGCCGUCCCUGUCACUGUCGCAGCCACAGUCGCCGUCGCACCUUCAAGACGAGAGGAGACGGGAGAUAAUUAGAAGUAGGGUUGGCUUGUGCCGGUUUGGUUAAUCUUAAUGGUUCUACUUUUCGGUUUAUUGGUUCGGUUCGGUUAACCGAUAAAAACCGAACCGAACCGAACCGAAAACUUCGGUUUUUAAUAAAAACCGAACCGAACCGAAAAAACCGAUUUUUUCGGUUCGGUUCGGUUCGGUUUUUGGUACGGUUCGGUUUUCGGUUCGGGAAC
rnacentral:lncRNA from 1 species